rnacentral:lncRNA from 1 species
UUCAAAGCUUCAAGAGUUCAAGAAUUCAAGACCUUCAAAGCUUCAAGAGUUCAAGAAUUCAAGAUCUUCAAAGCUUCAAGAGUUCAAGAAUUCAAGAUCUUCAAAGCUUCAAGUGAUCAAGCCUUCAAAUCUUCAAGUGAUCAAACCUUCAAAUCUUCAAGUGAUCAAGAUCUUCAAAUCUUCAAGUGAUCAAGCAUUCAAAUCUUCAAGAUCAAAAGCUUCAAGGCGUUCUUACAAAAUUCUAAGGACGUUCUUCUCCAAAUCAAAUCAAAUUCGACGUGCAAUUCAAAAUCAUGGCUUGAAGCCCUUUGGAUUUAUCGUCAUCAAAUCAAAUAUUCCAAGAACCUUCGAGAUUGUUCAAGAAUCAAAUGGAAGAGAAGAAUCAGAGGAUCAACUAGAGAUUGCAACCUGCAAAACUCUAUCAAAUUCUAUCAAAUUA